GACGAACGCUGGCGGUGUGCUUCACACAUGCAAGUCGAACGAGGUAGCAAUACCUAGUGGCGGACGGGUGAGUAAACGCGUGGGAAAUCUGCCUUUAGAUGGGGGAUAACGGGUCGAAAGACUCGCUAAUACCGCAUAUGACGAAAGUUGAAAGGAGUAAUCCGUCUAAAGAUGAGCCCGCGUCCGAUUAGCUAGUUGGUAGAGUAAAAGCCUACCAAGGCGACGAUCGGUAGCUGGUCUGGAGAGGAUGAUCAGCCACAAUGGGAACUAGAGACACGGCCCAUACUCCUACGGAGGCAGCAGUGGGAAUUUACGCAAUGGCGAAAGCCUGACGUAGCGACACCGCGUGAGCGAAGAAGCCCCUUGGGGUGUAAAAGCUCUGUCAGCUGGAACGAAAAAAAUGACGGUACCAGCAGAGAAGCAU
rnacentral:rRNA from 1 species